rnacentral:rRNA from 1 species
UACGGGGGGGGCAAGUGUUGUUCGGAAUUACUGGGCGUAAAGGGCUCGUAGGUGGCCAACUAAGUCGGACGUGAAAUCCCUCGGCUUAACCGGGGAACUGCGUCCGAUACUGGUUGGCUUGAGUUUGGGAGAGGGAUGCGGAAUUCCAGGUGUAGCGGUGAAAUGCGUAGAUAUCUGGAGGAACACCGGUGGCGAAGGCGGCAUCCUGGACCAACACUGACGCUGAGGAGCGAAAGCCAGGGGAGCAAACGGG